rnacentral:rRNA from 1 species
UACGUAGGGUGCGAGCGUUAAUCGGAAUUACUGGGCGUAAAGUGUGCGCAGGCGGCCGAGCAAGUCGAGUGUGAAAGCCCCGAGCUUAACUUGGGAACUGCGCUCGAAACUACUUGGCUAGAGUGUGGCAGAGGGAGGUGGAAUUCCACGUGUAGCGGUGAAAUGCGUAGAGAUGUGGAGGAACACCGAUGGCGAAGGCAGCCUCCUGGGCCAACACUGACGCUCAUGCACGAAAGCGUGGGGAGAAAACAGG